AACAGUCCGUUGAAGAGAAGAGUAAAUUUGGACGUGCUUUACAAGAGAGUCUCGGUUGGUGAAAAGAGAUAAGCGCAUAAGAGUUGAAGAUGGCCUCACGAGGACAAGCUGUUGAUAGGUAAGCAGCUUCGGGAAAGCACCCGUUAUCAAAGCAGCAAGUUAUAAGACUUGGUCUAAGAAAAGUAAUGAUGAUUACUUUAAAACAAAGGUGGUACCGCGAUUAUUCGCCCUUUAC
rfam:Enterococcus sp. 7F3_DIV0205 scaffold00001, whole genome shotgun sequence.